AUAUUGGGCAAUGGCCGAGAGGCUGACCCAGCCAUGCCGCGUGCAGGAAGAAGGCCUUCUGGGUUGUAAACUGCUUUUAUCGGGGAAGAAAACGCCUGUGCGCAGGUAACUGACGUUACCCGAUGAAUAAGCACCGGCUAACUCCGUGCCAGCAGCCGCGGUAAUACGGAGGGUGCAAGCGUUGUCCGGAUUUAUUGGGUUUAAAGGGUGCGUAGGCGGCCCGUUAAGUCAGCGGUGAAAUCCAACGGCUCAACCGUGGAACUGCCGUUGAUACUGGCGGGCUUGAGUUCGGUCGAGGCGGGCGGAACUGGCGGUGUAGCGGUGAAAUGCUUAGAUACCGCCAAGAACCCCGAUUGCGUAGGCAGCUCGCUGGGCCGAAACUGACGCUGAGGCACGAAAGCGUGGGGAGCGAACAGGA
rnacentral:rRNA from 1 species